rnacentral:rRNA from 1 species
UUGAACGCUGGCGGCAGGCCUAACACAUGCAAGUCGAACGGUAACAGGAAGCAGCUUGCUGCUUUGCUGACGAGUGGCGGACGGGUGAGUAAUGUCUGGGAAACUGCCUGAUGGAGGGGGAUAACUACUGGAAACGGUAGCUAAUACCGCAUAACGUCGCAAGACCAAAGAGGGGGACCUUAGGGCCUCUUGCCAUCGGAUGUGCCCAGAUGGGAUUAGCUAGUAGGUGGGGUAACGGCUCACCUAGGCGACGAUCCCUAGCUGGUCUGAGAGGAUGACCAGCCACACUGGAACUGAGACACGGUCCAGACUCCUACGGGAGGCAGCAGUGGGGAAUAUUGCACAAUGGGCGCAAGCCUGAUGCAGCCAUGCCGCGUGUAUGAAGAAGGCCUUCGGGUUGUAAAGUACUUUCAGCGGGGAGGAAGGGAGUAAAGUUAAUACCUUUGCUCAUUGACGUUACCCGCAGAAGAAGCACCGGCUAACUCCGUGCCAGCAGCCGCGGUAAUACGGAGGGUGCAAGCGUUAAUCGGAAUUACUGGGCGUAAAGCGCACGCAGGCGGUUUGUUAAGUCAGAUGUGAAAUCCCCGGGCUCAACCUGGGAACUGCAUCUGAUACUGGCAAGCUUGAGUCUCGUAGAGGGGGGUAGAAUUCCAGGUGUAGCGGUGAAAUGCGUAGAGAUCUGGAGGAAUACCGGUGGCGAAGGCGGCCCCCUGGACGAAGACUGACGCUCAGGUGCGAAAGCGUGGGGAGCAAACAGGAUUAGAUACCCUGGUAGUCCACGCCGUAAACGAUGUCGACUUGGAGGGUGUGCCCUUGAGGCGUGGCUUCCGGAGCUAACGCGUUAAGUCGACCGCCUGGGGAGUACGGCCGCAAGGUUAAAACUCAAAUGAAUUGACGGGGGCCCGCACAAGCGGUGGAGCAUGUGGUUUAAUUCGAUGCAACGCGAAGAACCUUACCUGGUCUUGACAUCCACGGAAGUUUUCAGAGAUGAGAAUGUGCCUUCGGGAACCGUGAGACAGGUGCUGCAUGGCUGUCGUCAGCUCGUGUUGUGAAAUGUUGGGUUAAGUCCCGCAACGAGCGCAACCCUUAUCCUUUGUUGCCAGCGGUCCGGCCGGGAACUCAAAGGAGACUGCCAGUGAUAAACUGGAGGAAGGUGGGGAUGACGUCAAAUCAUCAUGCCCCUUAUGACCUGGGCUACACACGUGCUACAAUGGCGUAAACAAAGGGAAGCGGAGCCGUGAGGCCGAGCAAAUCUCAAAAAUAACGUCUCAGUUCGGACUGUAGUCUGCAACCCGACUACACGAAGCUGGAAUCGCUAGUAAUCGCGAAUCAGCAUGUCGCGGUGAAUACGUUCCCGGGCCUUGUACACACCGCCCGUCACACCAUGGGAGUCGGAAACGCCCGAAGCCGGUGGCCUAACCGUAAGGAAGGAGCCGUCGAAGGCGGGUUCGGUGACUGGGGUG